rnacentral:tRNA from 1 species
GUCCCUGUAGCUCAACGGAUCGAGCGCUUCCCUCCGAAGGAAGAGGUUGGAGGUUCAAUUCCUCCCAGGGACA